AUGAUUUUUUUUUAAUGGCCGCAGUAUACUGACUGUGCAAAGGUAGCAUAAUCAUUAGCUUAUUAAUUGUAGGAUAGUAUGAAUGGUUGGACGAGAUAUUGGCUGUCUCAAAUUAAUUAUUUUGAAUUUAAUUAUUUAGUUAAAAGGCUUAAAUUUUAUUAAAGGACGAGAAGACCCUUUAGAUCUUUAUUUUUAUUUUUGUUAUUUGAUUUGGUUUAUUUUUUACUUUUAUUUUAAUAUUUUUUUUGUUGGGGUGACAUUUGGAUAUAAUUAACUCUUUAUUUUUUUUUAUCAUUUAUUUAUGUUUAAUUGAUUUUUUAUUAUUAUUUUUAAGACUUAGAUACCUAAGGGAUAACAGCGUUAUUUCUUUUAAAAGUUCCUAUUUACAUUGGAGAUUGCGACCUCGAUGUUGAAUUAAGAUUAAUAUUAGGUGAAGUUGCUUAAUAAUUAGGUCUGUUCGACCUUUAAAUUCUUACAUGAUCUGAGUUCAAA
rnacentral:rRNA from 1 species